rnacentral:rRNA from 1 species
UGGGGGAUAUUAGACAAUGGGGGAAACCCUGAUCUAGCAACGCCGCGUGAAGGAUGAAGGUCUUCGGAUUGUAAACUUCUUUGACGAGGGAAGAUAAUGACGGUACCUCGAGAACAAGCCACGGCUAACUACGUGCCAGCAGCCGCGGUAAUACGUAGGUGGCGAGCGUUGUCCGGAUUUACUGGGUGUAAAGGGCGUGUAGGCGGGACUGCAAGUCAGAUGUGAAAUACGGAGGCUUAACCUCCGAGCUGCAUUUGAAACUGCAAUUCUUGAGUGAUGGAGAGGUAAGCGGAAUUCCCAGUGUAGCGGUAAAAUGCGUAGAUAUUGGGAGGAACACCAGUGGCGAAGGCGGCUUACUGGACAUUAACUGACGCUGAGGCGCGAAAGUGUGGGGAGCAAACAGGAUUAGAUACCCUGGUAGU